rnacentral:rRNA from 1 species
AACAAAAACAUGUCCUCUUGUUUGUAUUUAUUUGAGGUUUAACCUGCCCACUGAAUUUUUAUAUUUUAAAUGGCUGCAGUAAUUUGACUGUACAAAGGUAGCAUAAUCAUUAGUUUUUUAAUUGAAAGCUUGUAUGAAAGGUUGGACGAAGUAUAAUCUGUCUUUAUUUAAUUUAUUGUAGAGUUUAAUUUUUAAGUUAAAAAGCUUAAAUAUUUAUAAAAGACGAGAAGACCCUAUAAAUCUUUAUAUUAUUUUAAAUUAUUUUAAUUAGGAUUAUUUAAUUUAUAAUUUUUUUUUAAUAUUCUAUUGGGGUAAUAGAGUAAUUAAAUUAAUUUAUUUUAAUUUUUUACAUUUAUUUAUGGUUUUAUGAUCCAAUAAGUUUUGAUUAUAAGAUUAAGUUACUUUAGGGAUAACAGCGUAAUUUUUUUUAAGAGUUCAUAUCGAUAAAAAAGUUUGCGACCUCGAUGUUG